ACGCUCGACACCUACGGGAGGCAGCAGUCGGGAAUAUUGCGCAAUGGAGGAAACUCUGACGCAGUGACGCCGCGUGCAGGAAGAAGGUUUUCGGAUUGUAAACUGCUUUAGACAGGGAAGAAAAAGGCAGUACCUGUAGAAUAAGCUCCGGCUAACUACGUGCCACAGCCGCGGUAAUCUGAGCGGGCUGGCAAGGC
rnacentral:rRNA from 1 species